rnacentral:rRNA from 1 species
GAUGAACGCUAGCUACAGGCUUAACACAUGCAAGUCGAGGGGAAACGAUAUUGGAAGCUUGCUUCCGAUAGGCGUCGACCGGCGCACGGGUGAGUAACGCGUAUCCAACCUGCCCACCACUUGGGGAUAACCUUGCGAAAGUAAGACUAAUACCCAAUGAUAUCUCUAGAAGACAUCUGAAAGAGAUUAAAGAUUCAUCGGUGAUGGAUGGGGAUGCGUCUGAUUAGCUUGUUGGCGGGGUAACGGCCCACCAAGGCGACGAUCAGUAGGGGUUCUGAGAGGAAGGUCCCCCACAUUGGAACUGAGACACGGUCCAAAACUCCUACGGGAGGCAGCAGUGAGGAAUAUUGGUCAAUGGGCGAGAGCCUGAACCAGCCAAGUAGCGUGCAGGACGACGGCCCUAUGGGUUGUAAACGUGCUUUUAUAGGGGGAUAAAAGUGCGCCACGUGUGGCAUAUUGCAGGUACCCUAUGAAUAAGGACCGGCUAAUUCCGUGCCAGCAG